UACGGGGGGGGGCAAGCGUUGUUCGGAAUUACUGGGCGUAAAGGGCUCGUAGGCGGCCAACUAAGUCGGAUGUGAAAUCCCCAGGCUCAACUUGGGAACUGCAUCCGAUACUGGAUGGCUUGAAUCCGGGAGAGGGAUGCAGAAUUCCAGGUGUAGCGGUGAAAUGCGUAGAUAUCUGGAGGAAUACCGGUGGCGAAGGCGGCAUCCUGGACCGGCAUUGACGCUGAUGAGCGAAAAGGCUA
rnacentral:rRNA from 1 species